rnacentral:rRNA from 1 species
UUCAGCUUACACCUGAAAAAUGUCUGAUAGCACCAGAUCGUCUUGAUGCCAAACUCUAGCCCAACCGACAUGACCCGGAAUAACAAAGCUACUUCCCCCACCCAACUAAAGCAUUUACCAGUCCCAGUAUAGGCGAUAGAAAAGACAUCCUUGGCGCGAUAGAGACCACGUACCGUAAGGGAAAGAUGAAAUAGUAAUGAAAACUGAGCUAUAAACAGCAAAGAUCAGCCCUUGUACCUUUUGCAUCAUGGUCUAGCAAGAAAAACCAAGCAAAAUGAAUUUAAGUUUGCCACCCCGAAACCCAAGCGAGCUACUUACGAGCAGCUAUUAUUGAGCGAACCCGUCUCUGUGGCAAAAGAGUGGGAUGACUUGUUAGUAGAGGUGAAAAGCCAACCGAGCUGGGUGAUAGCUGGUUGCCUGUGAAACGAAUCUUAGUUCACUCUUAAUUCUUCUCCAAGGAACCUCACAAACCCUAAUGAAGCGAAUUAAGGGCUAUUUAAAGGAGGUACAGCUCCUUUAAAAAAGAAUACAAUCYCUACGAGCGGAUAAGUAAACACCCCCGACUGAACUGUGGGCCCUCAAGCAGCCAUCAACAAAGAGUGCGUUAAAGCUCUGUACCAAAAAUAUAAAAACCUCACGACUCCCUCCCCAUUAACAGGCUAACCUAUAUCAAAAUAGGAGAAUUAAUGCUAGAAUGAGUAACCAGGGUCCUCCCUCUACGACGCGAGCUUACAUCCACACAUUAUUAACAAACCACCAAUAUACGACAAAUCAAACAAGCACAGUAUUAAACAUAUUGUUAACCCGACAGAGGAGCGUCCACUAAGAAAGAUUAAA